CUAGCUAGCUUUUCUGGUACUCACACUCGGCAGCUAUUUACUGUCUAUAUAUUUUACUUUUUUUUUACAAGACUACACUACAAGCCUGAUCUAGAUCUACUUCCUUAUCAUGUUUAUUAGCCUGUCAUUCUAACUAUAAAAAUUGUGCAUGUUUGCUCUAGACAUGUGCAAUUCGUUUCGUUCCGAAGGUAAAUUCGGAUGCUUCCGGAUGUCCGAAUUGCCGAAUUUUGGAAGUACCGAACCGAAUUGCCAAAGUGCUCCAGAUUUCUGAAAAGUGGCAAAACAAGAGCGGGAGGGAAAAUUACAACAAUCUACCCCUAACCUCCACAACCACUUCACCUUUAGGGUUAGGGAAUUGCUGAAGUCCUGAAUUUCGGAAGUGCCAAACCGAUCCAAAUUUUUUGUCCAUGCACAUCCCUACUUCUCUCCAAAUGCCUUACCACGUGUAAGUUAUGUAUUUUGUUGUUCUUGUCAUUGGCUGUCGUGACAUGACUAUACUGUUUGUAUCCCUCUGCAC